AAGAGAAAGGAUACGUUAGAACAAUAAGUAUUUUUCUGCACAGCAGCCUCUGCUCACUGCAUUCAGGACAGGUCUAAGCACAACGGAGGACUCCACUCCUUUCACUGCUUUGAAACUGCCUGGAAACAGCAUGCAUUAAGUUGCAAUGGAUGCAAAGCCAUCGAGCAGUCUUCUCUUUACAGGCUCUCUCAGUAUAUUUUAUGACUUGGUACUGGGUAGGAUGGGGAGAAGGCAGGGCUUGAAAAGGGCGCUGCGUGCAGCCAUGAGAUGCUGCCACCACAGGCACUGGGUGUUUCCUGGACACCUGUCAGCACAGGUGAGUUUAGUGGAAACUGCCUAGAACCAACUCUUAUUUUUUUAUUAUUAUUUUUUUUUAAACACAGCUAUGAAUACAGGCUUAAGAAUGGCAAGCAUGCAACUGUAUAGGCCCUCAAUAUUACAGUUAAUGGUAUUUUCUCACACCUGCCUUUUAUUUUAUUUUUCGAAUACCAGCACACAUACAUUACUUACUAACAAUCAGCAAUACCAAAAAUAAGGUUAGGGCAAAUACUCGUUUCAGGCUUCUAAAUACACAUUUGAAAAAAGGACACUGUAAAUGUUGGAAAAGGUUAUCCCAACAUGGCUCUUCUCCAGGUUCAGAAGCAACCAGCACACAUCAUUCAUUUGAACAUUUUGGAAUCUAUGUUUCAACAGCAGAGUACCUUCCUUCUACUAACUUCCCUAUCCCCUUCAUUUUGUCAGUCAAAAAGCCUUUCAAUUGACCACAUGCACGUGCUCAUUUCUGUAAACACAAACAUACAUAUACAUAUGCACAACAGUACCUGUGAGAUUCUUGUUCUCCCUUCAUUUUCUCUACUUUUGAUAACAUAUCAUCUACUUUGAACGUUUUCCUUUAAAGAAACAGGAAGAGAAUAGUUUGAGUACAGUCCCCAUAAUAUUAAUAACAUAAUAUUUAAUAACAAAACGUAUUCAGUCUGAACUUCAACUUGAUUUGUUAUCAAGAACUAUAUGUGUAAUUUUAGCCUUCCAUUUACAAAGAACCCUCUCUUGGACAUUUUUAGGUGUAGCAGCACAUCCGUGUCAUAGGAAUACAACCAUAAUACAGCUUUUCAAGCAGUAGCAACAUAGCACAAAUAAUUAAUCAGACCUUUCAGAAGCAAUGUGAUUGCCCAUAGGAAGUGCCUUUGAACAGCACGCUGAAACCUUGCAAUGAACGUGUCUAAUGGCAUUCCAGCUUAGCCCAAGGAAAAUCCUCCUGCUUUAGUAACACUUAAGACAAUCAGAAGCAUUCAAGUAAACUCGCCAGUCGUUGCUAUUUUAAUCUUGACCAAAUCUUGAAAACCAUUUAAAAUCCUAUCUGAACAAAAUAGUUGGAAACCUGACGAUAAAAGAGGAUUUCUCCUCCACGAAGUUACAUUAAGUUGACACACACAAAGCACACUGAAUUUUGAACCUACUUCUAGAGCUCACUCAUAGGAAAUGCAGGGGAAAAUCAUGACAGAAUGUUGUACAGAAUAAUUUCAACAACAUCAGUCUGUUUGUGCUUCUGUAUUCAGCCUGUUUACUAUAUAUACACCAUUUAAUAGUCACUGUUAAAUAAAGAUCACACGUGAACGGUAGUUAUUCAAUAGUUUCUGGAAUAAUCUUUUGAUUUCUCUUUAAAGGAAAAUUCAUGCUCGGACCUAGAGGCCAACAAAAUUGCAUAGGCUAAAGUAGAAGUACAAAACCAGGUGGGCAUCCUCCCUUUGUGUCUUAAACCAACUGCUGCAGCUUGCAUGUAAUACUUGCAAGCAUUAACGAUUCAAGAAGAAUGACACGUUUCCAGAUGUCAAAGUCAGCGUAGGCAAAAUAAAAGACAUCAUAAAAUCUUUCAGAAAAAGUAAAAAUGGCAACAGCAAAGAAACAACCAAAUGCAUUUAAUCAAAUUUGCUGCCUUGGAAGUUAACUUUGAAGAGCACAAGAAAUUACUGCGUAACUGUUUUCGUGCAUGAACAAAGAACACGGUCACAUAAGUGACAACACUGAGUUUACAGCAGCCCUUAACACUCAGGGUUUUUAAGGCAGCGUUUACUUGUGGUACAAGUGUGUUCAUUUUACACAUUCCUCUCACCACCCACUCUUACUCCUGUCUAUUGCAGUAAUUAUUAACAUAGUAUUAAAAAGCGUGCCGCUACUCUGCCAAUAAAUAAAACUACCCCACUAUCAAAAUACUGCAUGGGAAGCAUUCGUUCCAACGACAUCAUUUGGUCAAAUAUGAAAAUAACACCGACCCACAGGCCAACAGCCCACUUCAAUCUUCCAUUAAGUAUCACUUCACCAAAGCACACAGCCCGCACUGAUACGUGCUCAUUAACGACUGCCUCGCCACGUUUCUCUGUACUUGAAGCACCCUGGCCGUUACAGAUUCUGGUCUCCAUAUAAGACACAAAAACCAACAUCAAUGGAAAAUUCCUUGGUAAAAAUACAGUUGUAGUUCCCUACCUCCCAUUGAUAAACUUGGCUGGCAUUUUUCUCAGAUUACUGUAGGGCUGGCUAUAAAAGAUGUGCACUGAUAAUCACUAUUGGAAUAGUUAAUUUGCAUCAAGUUUGGAGAUAACUUCUUUGUGUUUUACAUAUGACAUUGUUGAUCAAAAUGGCCAUCAAAACAAUGAUCAGGAAUUUAAGAAUGGUAAAAUUACUAAGUCUUAGAGGGAAGAUAAAGAAAUAGGCGUCUAUUGUAAAGGUCAGUGUAAACAGAUUAAGAAUGAUGCAGCUCCAGAAGAUGCUUCUUUGCAAACUGAACUCUACCAAUGUUUUUACUGUACUGAAGCAAGGUACGUAAAACUUUCCAAACACGAGCCCCAAUUAGAUCUUCCACUCUAGUUUAGGUAUUUUCCCUCUCCUAAAACCUCUCAAUCACCAGACUGACUUCAGUAAGCCAGUAUUUUUAGAAAAGUAAUGCUUGAAAUGGCUGCUGAUCUGUCAGUUAUGGAUCAAAACCCAACCUAAAAUCACAGUUCUGGAACAGAGCAUCAUGGGCACUAAAAUAACUCAGUAUGUUUCAGAGACAAAAUAAGUGUUGCUUGCGCGGCUGAAACUGAACUGGAAUUUGGAGCAGUGGACGACACAAUGUACAUGCAAAGUAUCACUUGUUUCCCAGCAACUACAGCAAACAUUCAAAGAAACGAAGUAAGAUUCAGGUAAAAGAUCACAUGCAUUUCAAUCGACUAUAAAUUAAACACCUGAUACAACCAGGAAGAACUUUCCGGUUACGACAUGACCUGUUCAAGCUACAGAAAAAGCCCCAAAUGAAACAAAAGAGUUUCAGUGAGAGGAAAAAACUGACAGGACUUUGCAAUUCUACAAAUAACAAACACUGACAUGCAUACUUCUUGUGCUGCAAUAUUUAUGUACCUUAAAGUCUACUGACAUGCAGCUGUAACGCUUCAUAUGAUAUUAACAAGGAUUUUGCAAUGUCAAAACUGAAGCCCAUUUCUCAGAUACAUCCAGUUCAAAGCAA